AGAGUUUGAUCAUGGCUCAGAACGAACGCUGGCGGCGUGGCUAAGACAUGCAAGUCGAACGAGCUAGGCAAUUGAGCAAUCGAACGCCUAGUUAGUGGCGAAAGGGUUAGUAAUGGCUAGGUAACGUACCCUGUACUUCGGGAUAGCGUCUGAGUGCUUGCACUCUUCCGAAAGGGGCAUUAAUACCGAAUGAUAUCCCCCGUCGAUGGGCGGGUGAUCAAAGAUUUAUCGGUGCAGGAGCGGCCUAGUUCCUAUCAGCUAGUUGGUGAGGUAACGGCCCACCAAGGCGAUGACGGGUAGCGGGACUGAGAGGUUGGCCCGCAACAUCGGGACUGAGACACUGCCCGGACCUCCACGGAGGGCUGCAGUAACGAAUAUUGGGCAAUGAGCGAAAGCUUGACCCAGCGACGCCGCGUGUAGGAGGAAGUCCUUCGGGAUGUAAACUACUGUCAGGGGGAAGAAAGUCCGUUUCGGCGGAUUGAUCUAACCCAGAGGAAGUCACGGCUAACUUCGUGCCAGCAGCCGCGGUAAGACGAAGGUGGCAAGCGUUGUUCGGAAUCACUGGGCUUAAAGCGUGUGUAGGCGGAAGCGUAAGCGUUUUGUGAAAUCCCUCGGCUUAACCGAGGAAUUGCUUGACGAACUGCGCUUCUUGAGGCAGGUAGGGGUGCGAGGAACUCUUGGUGGAGCGGUGGAAUGCGUAGAUAUCAAGAGGAACGCCGGUGGAGAAGUCGUUGCACUGGGCCUGUCCUGACGCUGAGACACGAAAGCGUGGGGAGCGAACGGGAUUAGAUACCCCGGUAGUCCACGCCGUAAACGAUGCCUACUAGGUUGUGGCGGUUCUGACGCCGGCACAGCCGAAGCCAAAGUGUUAAGUAGGCCGCCUGGGGAGUACGGUCGCAAGGCUAAAACUCAAAUGAAUUGACGG
rnacentral:rRNA from 1 species